GACGAACGCUGGCGGCGCGCCUAAUACAUGCAAGUUGAGCGCUUAAGGUUGGUACUUGUACCAACUGGAUGAGCAGCGAACGGGUGAGUAACGCGUGGGGAAUCUGCCUUUGAGCGGGGGACAACAUUUGGAAACGAAUGCUAAUACCGCAUAAAAACUUUAAACACAAGUUUUAAGUUUGAAAGAUGCAAUUGCAUCACUCAAAGAUGAUCCCGCGUUGUAUUAGCUAGUUGGUGAGGUAAAGGCUCACCAAGGCGAUGAUACAUAGCCGACCUGAGAGGGUGAUCGGCCACAUUGGGACUGAGACACGGCCCAAACUCCUACGGGAGGCAGCAGUAGGGAAUCUUCGGCAAGGGACGAAAGUCUGACCGAGCAACGCCGCGUGAGUGAAGAAGGUUUUCGGAUCGUAAAACUCUGUUGGUAGAGAAGAACGUUGGUGAGAGUGGAAAGCUCAUCAAGUGACGGUAACUACCCAGAAAGGGACGGCUAACUACGUG
rnacentral:rRNA from 1 species